GAUGAACGCUGGCGGCGUGCCUAAUACAUGCAAGUCGAGCGAACGGACGAGAAGCUUGCUUCUCUGAUGUUAGCGGCGGACGGGUGAGUAACACAUGGAUAACCUACCUAUAAGACUGGGAUAACUUCGGGAAACCGGAGCUAAUACCGGAUAAUAUUUUGAACCGCAUGGUUCAAAAGUGACAGACGGUCUUGCUGUCACUUAUAGAUGGAUCCGCGCUGCAUUAGCUAGUUGGUAAGGUAACGGCUUACCAAGGCAACGAUGCAUAGCCGACCUGAGAGGGUGAUCGGCCACACUGGAACUGAGACACGGUCCAGACUCCUACGGGAGGCAGCAGUAGGGAAUCUUCCGCAAUGGGCGAAAGCCUGACGGAGCAACGCCGCGUGAGUGAUGAAGGUCUUCGGAUCGUAAAACUCUGUUAUUAGGGAAGAACAUAUGUGUAAGUAACUGUGCACAUCUUGACGGUACCUAAUCAGAAAGCCACGGCUAACUACGUGCCAGCAGCCGCGGUAAUACGUAGGUGGCAAGCGUUAUCCGGAAUUAUUGGGCGUAAAGCGCGCGUAGGCGGUUUUUUAAGUCUGAUGUGAAAGCCCACGGCUCAACCGUGGAGGGUCAUUGGAAACUGGAAAACUUGAGUGCAGAAGAGGAAAGUGGAAUUCCAUGUGUAGCGGUGAAAUGCGCAGAGAUAUGGAGGAACACCAGUGGCGAAGGCGACUUUCUGGUCUGUAACUGACGCUGAUGUGCGAAAGCGUGGGGAUCAAACAGGAUUAGAUACCCUGGUAGUCCACGCCGUAAACGAUGAGUGCUAAGUGUUAGGGGGUUUCCGCCCCUUAGUGCUGCAGCUAACGCAUUAAGCACUCCGCCUGGGGAGUACGACCGCAAGGUUGAAACUCAAAGGAAUUGACGGGGACCCGCACAAGCGGUGGAGCAUGUGGUUUAAUUCGAAGCAACGCGAAGAACCUUACCAAAUCUUGACAUCCUUUGACAACUCUAGAGAUAGAGCCUUCCCCUUCGGGGGACAAAGUGACAGGUGGUGCAUGGUUGUCGUCAGCUCGUGUCGUGAGAUGUUGGGUUAAGUCCCGCAACGAGCGCAACCCUUAAGCUUAGUUGCCAUCAUUAAGUUGGGCACUCUAAGUUGACUGCCGGUGACAAACCGGAGGAAGGUGGGGAUGACGUCAAAUCAUCAUGCCCCUUAUGAUUUGGGCUACACACGUGCUACAAUGGACAAUACAAAGGGCAGCGAAACCGCGAGGUCAAGCAAAUCCCAUAAAGUUGUUCUCAGUUCGGAUUGUAGUCUGCAACUCGACUACAUGAAGCUGGAAUCGCUAGUAAUCGUAGAUCAGCAUGCUACGGUGAAUACGUUCCCGGGUCU
rnacentral:rRNA from 1 species